GCUGGACAUGACAGUCACAUGACACGUGACGUGUACAAGACACUGGUAGCCAGGUGAAAGCUUAUGCUGGUCACCGCUACACGUCGUUGGGAGUAGCUACUGGACAGACACAGCGGCACGUGACUGAGGUCUGUCUUGAGCAGCGGUCAGCAGGUCCUCAUUAAUGUGGCCAGUCUAUUCCUUUGUGUUCUGUGGUCCGGCGACAACAGUGACUGUGCCAUGCACAUGUCCUCCAC